rnacentral:rRNA from 1 species
AGCAGUAGCCACGGUAAUACGUAGGUCCCGAGCGUUGUCCGGAUUUAUUGGGCGUAAAGCGAGCGCAGGCGGUUAGAUAAGUCUGAAGUUAAAGGCUGUGGCUUAACCAUAGUACGCUUUGGAAACUGUUUAACUUGAGUGCAAGAGGGGAGAGUGGAACUCCAUGUGUAGCGGUGAAAUGCGUAGAUAUAUGGAGGAACACCGGUGGCGAAAGCGGCUCUCUGGCUUGUAACUGACGCUGAGGCUCGAAAGCGUGGGGAGCAAACAGGAUUAGAUACCCCCGUAGUCCCUGUCUCUUAUACA